rnacentral:lncRNA from 1 species
CUUUACAGAUUUGAUUACCCCCUUUAUACAACCGAAAACCCCUAUUUUUCGUUUGCCCCUACCUCCUGUUCGUGGCUUAUUUGUUGCAGGUGGAUACUAGAGGAGGCGUGCGCGACGUGCGUACGGGGACUGAACAUGGGUGAAGACAGUUGCCGCGACGUGGGCAGUUACUGCGACGCGAAGAACAUGCGUGGCACGAAGGCUAUCUGCUGCUUAGAGUUAGGGUUUGCACACUUGGGCCUUAUUGGGCCGAAUGUAUUAGGAUUUAGCCCAAAUUUUAUUUUGGCUGUAUAAUGAACUGUCUUUUUAUUAAAAUUGGUUUUAUUUUCUGCUAGGCUCGGGCCCAAAAUUGGGUAUUACAGCUGCCCCUUUUUGUUCAUUGUCGUGUAAUGGAAAUAGAGCAAAGACUUUAAAAUAACCAAUUUUGCCCGGUUAUGCUAGACUUUGGCGUUCUCUUCUUCAAAUAACUUCAUUCCAUCCUACUGCAUCUUCAGAGGUAUAAGAACUAGUGUUUUAAUCCACUCCACUGCAACAUCAGGGAGAUAGGACUUAAUCUUGUAGCCUCUCAAAAGGAUAAAGUUUGCAUCUUUAGUCUGCUCCACUGCAACUUCAGGGAGAUAAGACUUGUAGCUUAAACUUAUUAAUUGCGCUGUCGGAGAAAACCAGAUCCGCCGCUGUGACUUCAAUCUGCUCCACUACACCGCCAGAGAAGUAAGAUCCGCCAUUGUCACUUCAAUCUUUUUAAUUGCGCUGUCGAAGAAACCAGAUCCGCCGUUGUGACUUCAAUCUGCUCCACUACACCGCCAGAGAAGUAAGAUCCGCCGUUGUGGCUUUAAUCUUUUAAAUUGCGCUGUUGGGGAAACCAGAUCUGCCGUUGUGACUUCAAUCUGCUCCGCUGUACCGCCAGGGAAAGUAAGAUCUGUCGUUGUGGCUUUAAUCUUUUAAUUGCGCUGUCGGGGAAACCAGAUCCGCCGUUUUGACUUCAAUCUGCUCCGCUGCACAGCCAGGGAAGUAAGAUCCGCCGUUGUGGCUUCAAUCUUUUAAAUUGCGCUGUCGGGGAAACCAGAUCCGCCGUUGUGACUUCAAUCUGCUCCACUGCACCGCCAGGGAAGUAAGAUCCGCCGUUGUGGCUUUAAUCUUUUAAAUUGCACUGUUGGGGAAACCAGAUCUGCCGUUGUGACUUCAAUCUGCUCCACUGCACCACCAGGGAAGUAAGAUCCGCUGUUGUGGCUUCAAUAUUUUUAAUUGCGCUGUCGAAUAAACCAGAUCCACCGUUGUGACUUCAAUCUGCUCCGCCACAACGCUAAGGAAAUUAAAAAUCUACUAUUUUCAACCUACUCCAUUGCUGCUCAAGGAGAUAAGGCUGAAGUUUUAUCGGUUUGUUCUCUAGGGAACAUGACCUGUAAAAUUCAAAUUAUGAACCUAAUUAUGCCUAGUGAUUAGGAUGUCAUGAUCAAAAUGAAUCAAAUGCUCCUAACUAGAUGUGUAUGAAUGACAUUUGAAUGAAUGUAAAAUAUUUCGAGAAUGAUCCCGCUCAGGUUGUCAAUACUCAAAACUUAUUAAGACUGUAUCACUGACGCACUACAAUGUCCUCUUGCUCAGCUCGCAUAUCCAAAUAAACGCUUAAUCAGAUUGCCCCCCACCGUGAACUUCAAAGUUCAAUCCACUGGGAUGCAUCAUUUGUACCAUCUUUCUCCUGCUGUAACCCAAGGGUAGAAAAACCUGGCCUUUUCUCAAUCCUUUCCUAUCAUAAAUCAAGGAUACAUAAUGUAAAGCUCUUUGGUCUUUUACACCAAUUCUACGGCGCCAUGCCAAAUGCUCAUGCACCAAUGAAGGACUUUCUUCUCCACGGGAACCUCUUCCUAUCACAAGGUAAUCACCGCUUAUUUGUUCAAUGAGGCUUUGUCACCAGCACAACAUCUUGUCAUUCUGUUCAAUCAAUGUUUUUGACAACAAAAUCCAAAGAGAAGGUCUUAAUUUAGACCAUUCCUUAUCAGAUUUCCAACCUUUAAACCUAGUGCGUUCUGAACAAUAGUCCUGUUUCAGGUUACUGUAUCAUUUAGAAACUUUCAAAGUAAUAUGCAAAAUUUCCCUUAUAAAAGUAGUAUUAUCCUAUUGCCCCAAUGAAAAAUGCUUGAACAUGACUAUCAAAAUGGACAAGAUGAAAUUCAUUAAGAAUAAAGCUCAAGAUGAGUAGAUUACAAAGAAUAGUAAGAAGAAAAGAGGAAUGGAUUGGAAACAUGAAUCUUGAAAAGGAAUAAAGUAUUCCAAGAUAUAAAUACUGAGAAGAUUAGGUGCCCCAGAUAUCGCAGUUUGAACUUCUCUGCACAAACCUCCUGAAGACCACUUUGAAUCCGUUAUGUACUUUAGAAGGUCUUACAGUAUUCUGUCAAAGCCCCAAGAUGUUGCGUCCCCUUUCCCACUGAUUCAACCAUUGCAAGAUCACCAGAUGCGUCAUCUGAUCAGCAUUUGAGCAGUCUUUUUUUGGGUUUUCAACUCAAAUCCCCUUUGGUCUCAAAGUGCCUUUUACAGGUUUUCACAUUGGCCUCUCCUAUUUUCUCUCUCUCUUCUCUUAUUUUUUCUCUCUCUCUUGUUUUUUAAAAUAAUUUUUUUAAGAAAAGUAUUUCUUAACCGUAUCCGAGUUUACAGGGUUUGGCAAAUCUUUACCAUCCAUCUCACUCAAAAUCAAAGCUCCAUCUAGGAAGGCUUUCUUUACAACAUAUGGACCUUCCCAAUUCGGCAUCUAUUUCCCUCUGAAAUCCUUUUGUAUAGGAAGGAUAUUUUUCAACACUAGCUCUCCCUCAUGAAAUUCUCUGAGACAAACCUUUUUAUUGUAGGCUCGCAUCAUCCGCCUUUGAUACAUCUGACCAUGGCGAACAGCCUUUAGCCUUUUCCCUUCAAUUAAGUUCAAUUGAUCGUAAUGAGAUUGAACCCAUUCUGCCUAAUCUAGUUUCAACUCAGAUAAUACCUGGAGAGAGGGAAUUUCUAUCUUAAUAGGUAAAACUGCCUCCAUCCCAUAUACCAAAGAGAAAGGUUUUGCCCCAGUCGAAGUCCUGACAGACGUUCUAUAAGCAAAAAGAGCGAAUGGUAAUUUUUCAUGCCAAUCUUUGUAAGUCUCAGUCAUCUUUCCUACAAUUUUCUUGAUAUUCUUAUUGGCCGCUUCUACUGCACCAUUCAUCUUUGGGCGGUAUGGCGACGAGUUAUGAUGUCUGAUCCUGAAUUGACUGCAGACCUCCGCUAUUGCACUAUUAUUCAAAUUCAACGCAUUAUCAGAUAUGAUCCUCUCAGGCAUUCCAUACCGACAUAUGAUUUCCUUUUUCAAGAAUCUGCUAACUGCUGACUUCGUCACAUUUGCAUAUGAAGCAGCUUCCACCCAUUUGGUAAAGUAGUCAAUAACCACAAAGACGAAGUGAUGCCCGUUUGAAGCCUUUGACGAUAUUGGCCCAAUGACGUCCAUACCCCACAUAGAGAAAGGCCAUGGAGAAGUCAUAACAUGAAGAGGUGAAGGAGGUGCAUGCCUUUUAUCGCCAUAAAUUUGACAUUUAUGGCACUUCUUAGCAUAACUGAUGCAAUCCCUUUCCAAAGCAGACCAAUAAUACCCAAAUCUCAUGACCUGCCUGGCCAUUGUGAAACCAUUUGCAUGUGUUCCACAGAUGCCUUCAUGGACUUCUUCUAGAAUUUUUCUAGCUUCCACUGCGUCCACACAUCUUAGCAGUACUUGAUCCUUCCCUUUUUUGUACAGGAUUUCUCCAUCUAGAACAUAGUCAAUAGCCAAUCUUCUCAGUUCUCUCUUAUCAUUCUCUGUUGCCUGAUUCGGAUACUUACGAUUCUUUACAUAUCGCAAGAUAUUCAAAUACCAAGGAUGGUCAUCCUUUUCCUCUUCCUCAACAUUAUAACAAUGACCCGGAGUUUUAGAAAUACUCAUCUGAAUAGGCUUCAUACCCUCUAACCUAUUCACUCGGAUCAUAGAGGCUAAGGUAGCCAACGCAUCAGCCAUCUAAUUCUCAUCCCGUGGAAGAUAAUAAAAAGUAACGACAUCAAACUCAUCCAUCAAUUCGAGAACCAUCUUUCGAUAACUGAUUAGUUUAGAGUCCCGUGUCUCCCAUUCUCCUUUGAGUUGAUAUAUCACUAGUGCAGAAUCCCCAUACACUUCUAACACUUUGAUUUUACGCUCGAUGGCUGCACCAAUGCCCAUAAUGCACGCUUCAUACUCUGCCAUAUUAUUUGUACAAUCAAAAUCUAGUUUGCUAGCGAAAGGAUAAUGAUCUCGACUUGGAGAUAUUAAGACUGCCCCUAUUCUAUUACCCACAGCAUUUGAGGCUCCAUCAAAAUUUAACUUCCACACCUGAUCCAUUUGGGAAUUUCCUUCAGUAGUUGCCACAUACAUCAAGUCCUCGUUUGGGAAAUCAAAGUUUAAAGGCUCAUAAUCCACCAAGGCUCUGCUAGCUAAAAAGCCAGCUAUUGCGCUCCCUUUCACAGCCUUCUAACUCACAUACACUAUGUCAAAUUCAGAAAGCAAGAUCUUCCAUCUAGCCAUCCUCCCAUUCAAAGCAAUCGACUCCAUCAUAUACUUUAAGGGGUCUAACUUUGAAAUUAGCCAUGUCGUAUGAUACAACAUAUAUUGCCGUAGUCUUCGAGUUGUCCAAACCAAAGCACAACAUAACUUUUCAAUAGCCGAAUAUCUCGCUUCACAAUCAGUGAAUUUCUUACUGAGAUAGUAUAUUGCCCUUUCCUUUCUCCCUGUCUCAUCAUGUUGGCCUAACACGCACCCCAUGAAAUUGUCAAAUACUGUUAAAUACAGUAUUAACGGCCUAUCCAGAUUAGGUGGUGAUAGCACUGGAGGAUUAGACAAAUAUUAUUUUAUUUUGUCAAAAGCCUUCUGGCAUUCUUCAUCCCAUACGCUCGGAUUAUGCUUCUUUAGAAGACGGAAUAGGGGAUCACAUUUCUCAGUCAGUUGUGAAAUAAACCGAGAAAUGUAAUUUAGCCUUCCCAAAAAACCCCUUACUUCCUUCUGUGUGUGCGGUGGAGGCAAAUCUCGUAUUGCCCUGACUUUGUCUGGAUCAACUUCAAUUCCUUUCCCACUGACUACGAAGCCCAACAACUUCCCCGAUCUAGCUCCAAAGGUGCACUUUGUUGGAUUAAGGUUGAGCUAGAAAUUUUUUAGUCUCAAAAAUAAUUUUCGCAGAACUUGAACAUGCUCCUCUUCCGUUCUGAAUUUUACAUUCAUAUCAUCGACAUAAACCUCAAUCUCCUUGUGCAUCAUGUUAUGAAACAAAGUUACCAUAGCUCUUUGAUAAGUUGCCCCCCAUUCUUUAAUCGAAAUGGCAUCACUUUGCAACAGAACGUUCCCCACAAAGUGAUAAAUGUGGUCUUUCUCAUAUCUUCUGGAUGCAUCUUUAUUUGAUUGUAUCCAGAAAAACCAUCCAUGAAAGAAAACAAUGAAUAGCCUGUAGUAUUAUCUACCAAAGUAUCAAUGUGAGGCAACAGAAAAUUAUCUUUUGGACUGACCUUUGUUCAAAUCCCUAUAAUCUACACACAUUCAUACCUUCCCAUCUUUCUUAGGGACAGGGACAACAUUAGCUACCCAUUCUGAAUACUUAACUUCUUGCAAGAACCCAGCAUCGAACUGCUUUUUGACUUCUUCUUUUAUCUUUAGCACAAUGUCAGGCCUCAUUCUUCUGAGCUUCUGCUGAACUGGCUUGUAAUCCUCUUUUAUGGGAAGACGGUGCACCACAAUAUCAGUGCUUAACCCAGGCAUAUCUUGAUAUGACCAUGCAAAGACAUCUUUGAAUUCCCGGAGUAAUUCAAUGAGGUCCUGCCUUGUCUUGGCAGAAACAUCAGUUCCGAUCUUUACCUCUUUUCUCUCCUCUAGACUCACAAUCUCCAAUGAUCUUUAUGAGGUAAGAUUUGCUUAUCCUCCUCUUCUACCAUUCUCAAUAAGUCCGGAGAUACAUUACAGUCUACGUCAUCUCCAAAAUUCGGUGAUCCCUCUAAACACCUGUCUUGUUCAAAAGGUGAUUCUGAGUCUGGAGCAGCGUCAUUCAUAUCAUUGAUAUCUGGGGACCUAUGAUAAGUGCCAAAGAAUAUACAAAGAAUGUAUGAAUUUAUGAACAAAAUAUGAUUAUGAAAUGAAUAAAAGAAUGAAAGAACAAUUGCUCGAAAAAAGAAUAAAAGAAUACUGGCUCAAAAAUGCAUACGAAAACGUGUAUUUAUUGAAAUUAUAAUAUUCAUCAUGUGCAUAAUCAAUAAAGAAAUUAUAUUUUAAGUUAAAACAACAAGGAUGUUCUGCAUAUUUAUUCUGAACAAGUUCUAAAAACUACAGGAAUCUCUUCCACAGUCCAAUUGUUCAGAUCACUUCCAGGCUCGUAAGGGCGAAUCUUUAACAAUGUCUCUUUUUCCUCUGUGUCUAGGGCAUUGACGUAAACAUCUCUUAAUACUUCUUCAACACCUUCCACUUCAAGCACUCUUCGUUCCGGAUGAAUAAACCCUCCUGACACGAAAGUCUUGGAUAUGUGAGGAAAAACCAUAGGCUCCCACCUAACUUCAUUUCCACUCAGGCGUGCCCUUCUUCUCUCCUGUCUUCUCUCUAUUUCCUUUCUUCUUUGUUUUAUAUCUGGUCUAUAGCCCAAACCAAAACGAUCAAACUUUUCUUUCAUUGUUGGUGCUUCAACUCCUCCUUGCAAAUAUCUUCCCAAUCCUUUUCCGGGUACUCCUCAUUUUCCCACCAUUAAUUGAAGGCCCAUUCUUGUAGUCCUGGAUAUCUUCGGUACUGGAAUUCUAUUCCCUUUAGCAAUAAAUGUUGUAUUUACGAACUCUAAAGAUUGAAAAGAGCAUUCCACCGCUUCUUCAUCAAUCUCCACGUAUGGUGCAUCACUGGUUACUAAUGCAUAAUACUCUCAUCAGUAUUUAUUGUCACCAAUCAUCCCUCUGACACUAACUUUAACUUUUGAUGUAGCGAUGAAGGCACAGCCCCUGCCGAGUGUAUCCAAGGUCCCCUAAUAAGCAGUUAUAGGAAGGCUUGAUGUCCAUUACAAUGAAAUCUACUUCAUAAGUAUCCGGGCCAAUCAGCAACGGUAUCUCAAUUCUCCCCAAAACCUUCCUUUUCGUUCCAUCGAACGCGCUUACCACAUUUUGACAUGUUUUCAUAUGUGAGCUAUCUACAGGUAACCUAUUGAGAGUAGAUAAGGGCUGUACAUUCAAUGUAGACCCAUUAUCAAUUAAAACUCCCGACACCAAGCUUCCUUUACACCGAGCAGUAAUGUGCAGAGCUUUUGUGGACCUCAUACCUCCAGAUGGUAUUUCAUCAUCGUUGAAGAAGAUAAAAUUAUCAGCGCUUAUAUUGUUGACCAACCGAUCCAAUUGGUUGAUAGAAAUAUCACUUGCCACGUAAGUUUCAUUUAAUGCCUUCAUCAGCGCAUUUCGAUGCACCUUUGAACUCCUAAGCAAAGUCAACACAGGUAUACGAGCUCGCUGUUUAUGCAGUUGCUCUACAACACUAUACUCACUGUGUUUUAAAAAUUUCAAGAAUUCAGUGGAUUCUUCUUCCUUUAUUGGCUCAUUAAUCAAUGACCUUAAUUCAGCCUUCUUCUCUUUCUUUUGCUCUGCUGCAAGGACUUUUCCCUCCACCGAUUCUGUUUCAGCAUUGAUCCGACCACAGUACUCUUCAAUAUUCGUAUAAAAACCCAUCUUUUGGUUUUUUUCCACAACACUAGCUGAAGCUUCUAUCCCCGAAAUUGCUACCUCGCACUCAUAAUUCCAGGGGACCUUCUUGUUAUUCUUAUACGAAAACUUCAUCGGCUUUUGAAUAACAAUCUUCGGAGUCACCUGUGCCCUAACUUCAACCCUAGAGCGUGAGAUGAUAAUCUUUGGCAAUCUCUCUCUAACUCCGGUGCGCAUAUAUUUCCUUUUCUUUCUUCCUCUUCAAAAAACUCCAUUUCUCCACUAUCCAUCAUACUCUGAAUCAGAGGUCUGAACUUCUCACAUCUUUGAAUUUCAUGUCCCACAUCAUGAUGGAACUCACAAUAAUUUUGGGUCUUGCCACCCUCCACAAAAUCUGAAACAAUUAAUCUUCUUCUUACCAUUUCCUUCCAAACCCUCCUCAAAGGGAUCUUUACCUCAGCAAUAUUCUCCUUGACCCUCUUCCCCGUAGCUUCACCUACCAUGUUUACCCCUGCAUUAGUAUGUUUGGGUAAUGGAUUUUCCGUACCUGAUGAAUCAUCUAUCUUGACAACGCCCAUCUGAAUGAGCUUAUCAACAAGCUUUUUAAAAGUAGUACAAUGCUCUAUGGAGUGCCCCGUAACUCCUGUAUGGUAAUCGCAUUGUGCAUUUGCGUCAUACCAUUUAGGAUAUGGAGACUGUAAAUGGGUCAAAUAAAAUGGGGCAACAACGUGCGCGUUGAAUAAAUUUUGAUACAACUCUUUAUAUGACAUAGGAAUAGGUGUAAACUGAGGCCUGUCAUUACUUGGCCUCGUACCAGAUUCCUGUUUUGAUGAACCCGAUUGACCUGUCACUACCUUCUUGGGCUGAUUCACCGUAAUUGACUUCUUGUAUCUAUUCACGUUGUUUACCUUACUUUCUUUUUUCUUUGAGUUUUGCCUUCUGCUAUUAUCUCCAACAUCAAUCUUCCCACUCUUUACAGCACUUUCAAUCAUCUCACCACUCAUGACAAUGUCAGCAAAGUUUUUCGUGGCACUGCCUAACAUGUGUGUGAUGAAAGGGGCCUUCAGCGUAUUAACAAAAAGUAUUGUCAUUUCUCUUUCAAUGAGCAGUGGUUGGACCUGCACUGCCACCUCCCUCCACCUUUGAGCGUAUUGUCUAAAAUCUUCAUUCGACUUUUUCUCCAUGUUCUGUAAAGUAAUCCUAUCAGGAACCAUUUCUGCCACAUGACCGUACUGCUUCAUAAAAGCCUGUGCUAAGUCCCUCCAGGAGCUAAUCUUAGCACGGCUUAAUUGAUUAUACCACUUUGACGCAGCUCCCGUGAGGCUAUCCUGAAAAUAGUGUAUCAAUAACUGGUCAUUAUUGACAUACCCAGUCAUUCGCCUACAAAACAUAGUAAUGUAGGCUUCAGGGUAAGUGGUCCUAUUAUACUUAUCGAAAUUCGAUAUUUUAAAUUUGUACGGAAGUACUAAAUCCGGUACCAAACUUAAAUCCUUAGCAUCAAUCCCAUGGCAUCUUUCAGUAGUUUCCAUCGCUUUGAAUUUCUCCUCAAUCUACUUCCAUCUUUCUUCUAAUUACUUUGGUAAUUAUUCUUUUGUUUUCUCUUUUUCAACUGCUUCAUCGAAAUCAGGAACAAUAGGUUGGCAAGAUUAUUCUCAGGACUGGAGCCUGAUCUGGUCUGAAAAUUCAUCGAUCUUGAAGCAUCGGCUUGAAAUUGCUGAGGCCUAAUCGUAACAGAAGAUUUACGCGGGUACACUUCCGCUUGGUGCUGCACAUGUAGAGGAGUGAAGCCUGGAGGAUACUGGAGUCCAUCCUCGCCUUCCUCUUCCAUAUUUGUUACAGGGCUCUUUCCCUUAUCUUUCCCUUCGGUCAACAAUCGCGUUAACGUUGUCAUCUACUUCCUUGUGAUUCCUCCAUUUUAUUCAUCAAACUUUGUUGAAUCUUCUCGAGUUGUUCCUUCAUUUGCUGCUGAAGCUGAUCUUGCAUUUCUUUUUGGAACCCUUCGAGCUUUUCCAACCUUUGGUCCAUAUUUUUUAAUUUCGCUCUUGUACCGUAACGGUGCUGAGUUGGCUGGCUAGAUUCCAGGUUAACUGAGGAAUGAUUUUGAUUAAUCAGAACCCUUUGAUAAUUUUUAAUGCAUGUAAUGCGAUGUAUGAAAAUGAAUGCAGAAAAGGCAUUGAUUCUAAUUUCAAUUACUUUCAGAAACUUUAUUAGAAAAUAAAUCUCUUUACAUAGAAUGGGCUACAAAUAUGGCUUUGCCCUAAUACUUAAGACCCUUAUCUUUUUAAGCAACGAUGCUAAUUCUUGUCCCCGAUCUGACUCUAGCUCAUACUUCACGCUCAACGUGUCAGCUUGUACGACCAAGGUUUGCAAGUGGUUUGCUACCUCCUGAAUCUGGAUCACAGCUUCUCCCAUAAUAUGAUCACUGUCUCUAACUUAAUUUUGGAAAUACUGAAGCUGCUCAUUUUGGCGCCCUUCCUUUGCCUCUAGAUGCUGAAUCCGAACCUCACAAUUCUGCAAUGCUGCUUCUAGCCUUUCUAUUGUACUCUUCAUCUCUUCAAUCUUGCUAAGACUUGCUUUCAACUCUAUUACCGAAUUUCGACUUCGGUGUUGAUGGAGAGACCCUUCUAACUCAACUACUCUGUCUUUUAGUCCUCCUUUUUCCUUUUGGCUCUCCGACAAGCUUCUUUCUAAUGCUUCAUUUCGUGCUUGUACCUCUCGAAAUUUCCUUUCCCACCAAUCUGACCUAUUUCUUUCCUCUCGAAUUUCUUCACGCCACUACUCUGAAGUCUUUCCAAGCCCUGCAGUUCUUAUUGACAGACGCAGCUUCUUGUAAUCUGUCUUUAAGCUAUUUAGCUCCUCCUCAGCCUUGUUCUUCCCCUUUCUCAGUUUAUCAGCCUCGAUCUUCUGAACAUCCACAUCCAGUCUCAAAUUCACUUUCUCUUCCUCCAUUUGCUCUAUUUUCUUCUCUAAUUCGCCAUUCUUCUUUUCAAAGUCUUGUUUUAUGAUCUCCAGCUCAGUGGGGACGACAUGCAAAUGCUCCUCUAUCGACUGACUAUUUUCCAGACUCAGCCUAGGAAUGUUAUCGUUGAUCCUCUUAACCCACCAUUCACUAUACUCGAGAGUUGUCAUCGGAUCCACAGCCAAUCUCCUCAUUCGGCGAGUCUGAUUCCAUGCAUUAGCUAUCUCACGAGCCUUCUUUUUGUAACCAUCAUCUUUAUACGAGAAUUCACACUCGGCUAGCCCCUGAGUUGUAGGCACAAACUGCCUUGACCUGUAUUGCCUUAACACUAACAAUGGGGCAUAACCAACAGCUCCCCAAAUUCUAAGCAAAGGAACCCAGUCGAAAUCCCCACACCGAUACAAGACCUCAUCUGGAAGUAACCACGGAGCUCUCCACUCGAUAUCCUCCUCUUGCAAAUUCUAAAAAAUUGCCAUCCACUUCUCUUCUGAGAUGUUAUUCCUCCUCAGUGUAGCCACUAUCUCCUUUAAUGGUGAAUAGCUUUCAGAGAAGACCCAAUAUAAAACCUUAUCCUCCUUCCAGAAGUGAUUGUGGAACCAAGCAAGUAGAAGCUGCGCACAUCCAAUGAAUCUACCCUCUCCUGCCCUCCGGCAUGCAUUCAGUGACCUGAAAAUUUCUGCCAAAAUUACUAGGACCGGUGAAACUCUCUUAUCAAGCCGAUCGAAUAAGUCAGUAACCGCUUCAUCAACAUGCCUCAAAGUCUUAGGGAAGACAACCAAACCAUAUAUACUUAAAACAAAGAUAUCUACCUUCUUCCUCGCAUCUGGGUAUGCUAAAAUGAGGUCCUUCAAAAUUUUCUAAGGAAUGCACCUACUGUCUCCCUUUUGCUUGAUCCGAGCUGUAACCCACUGCUCACUCAUUCCCGUUAUAUUCAUCAGCUUCUUCAAGAAGGUCUGUACAUUUACCGCUUUCGAAUAGAUUCUAUCUAUUUGAACCCUCGAACACCGAAGUAAAGCCGUGUACUCCUCUAUUGUAGGCACCAAAUCAACCUUUCCGAAUGUGAAGCAACUGUAGGCCGAAUUCCAAAACUGGGCAAGAGCUUGAAACAGACGCUUGUCUACCUUCAUAUCGAGUAAAUAAGGUAAAUCCCCAUAAUUUGAAUAGAACAACUGCCUAACCUCAUUAUUCCACUGAUCCCAAAUCUCCUUCAACUCCUGCAAGUUAUUUUGAGCUACGCUAACACGGGUGAAGUCCCAUAAUUCUGAUACGUAUCCCUCGGCCAAACUAUCACCUUUUUCGCACUGUGUCAUCUCAGCCCAGGUUCGGACAGUCUCAUUGUCCUCCACUCUAUCAAGAAACCCAUUUCCCAUGAUAAGCUUUCUGUCUAGUAACCGAAUAUGAACCAACGCCUUUAUAAUGAAAUGCCAUGUAAUGCCAUGCAAUCAGAAAAAAAAACAUAAAAAGUUAGAAACAAUUAAAUACAAUACAACCAAAAAAACUCCUCAUUAGGUAUCUACUAAGGCUCAAAGUAAUUCUACCUAGGGCGGGUUCCUAAGGUUCACUAUAUGAGGUUGUGGCUUCUAGAGCAAGGGUACCCGAACCAGGAGAUUCCUUGAUCUUCACCCAUUAUAGGUUCAUAUGGACCAAGUUCGGUUCAGGGGAAUACAUUUCCCUAUGGCUGCACGGAGAUGAAAAUCUCACGAAGACAUAGGUACGGAUGUAUCCCGAAAGCGAUCCACUACCCUGCAAGGAGGUGAAAACCUCACGAAGGACUAGUUUCUCACUCCCACUUAAAGGGAUAAAAUUGACCAUGAAAUGCAAAAUGCAAAUAAACUAACGGACUUAGAUCAAUCAAGCAAGCAUAUGAUAAAACUAGUGAAUGCAAAGGGGAAAAUCAUGAUUUAAAACAACUUUAAUUUUCGAUAAAAAGACACAAAAUAAUCAAUUUAUGGCUCGACUCACUAAGUCCCCAGUGGAGUCGCCAAGUUGUCGAAACCUUUUUUUUUGAAAACCAAAAAUGGCUUGUCAACUUUAAAAAAAAAUUGGAGUCGCCACCGAUCCUUUGUUAAGGUGUGAUCGGCUCACCAUAAAAAUAAUUCUGGUCUGCAAAAUUUGAGAAAACAGGUUCGGGAGUCAGUUACGCACGAGGAAGGGUUAGCACCCUCGUGACGCCCAAAAAUCGGUACCAAAUUUGAUUAUUUUAUGUCCUGAUGUCGAGAAUUUGAAAAGAUUUUAAAUAGAAAUUUUUAAUCCGUGAAUGGAUUUAAAAUGAUAAAACAUUCUCAUUUCAAAGAAAUAAAACACCACACCCAGUAAAUUAGGGCACAAUAUUUUAUAUCUUCAAAAUACCGAAUAUUGCUUUUUGUUACAGAAAUUCUUAUUUCGAGAUAACGAAAUGUCACGACCAGUAAGUUAGGACCCGACAUUUUGAAUUCCUGAGAAUAAGGUUUUAUUUGAAAAUUGCAAAUUCAUUGUAAAAUAAUUACUUAGCUCGUUAAAUUCAUUGAAAAAAUGAUCGCGAUCUAGUAAGUUAGGACACAAUCUUUCUCGAGAACCAUGAUUGCUAAAUAUUUAAAAAUUAAAAAAAAAAGAUUUUAAUGCUUUCACGAAGCAAAAAUAGAUUUUUCUUUAAAAGUAUGAUAAAAUGCUAAUGCGUAACAUGAAAUCAUUACUCUAAUUUAAAAUAUACCUAUAUAUGUAUACAAAAAAUUAUAAAAAAGAACAUAAUUAUAAAAUAUAAUAAGUAGACAUAAAAAUAAAAACGUAAGCAUAAUAUAUUAAUAAUUAUGAAAAUAUGGGUAUAUAUGUAUAUAAAAAUAUAUGGAAAAUAUAUUUAUAAAAGUUUUGAAUAAUAUAUAUAUGUAUAUAUAUAUAUAAAAGCAUGUAUAAACAUAUAUAGAUUAUAAAAUAUGGAAAGCAUAUCAAUAUUGUAAAAUAAAAAUGUAUAUACGUAUAUAUAUAUAAAAUAAUAAUAAUAAAGUAUAUAAAAAAUGUUUAAAAUAUAUACAUAUAAAUAUUAUCACAUAAAUGCGCAUAUAAUAUAUGUAUAAUAAUAAUAUAACAUAAUAAUAAAUGCUAAUAAUAAUACAGUAAUAAACAAUUUAACAGUAUUAAAAAACAAUAACAAAUUAAGGAUUAAUAAUGAAAAUAAAUAGAAUUUAAAGGCUAAAUUCGAAAAUUGAAAACGUGAAAAGGAGCAAAUUAAAACGCGCGUAACAUGAGGAGGACCUAAAAAGAAAUUUACCCAAACCUCCCAAACACCGCACAGCAAUGAGGACCGCAUUGAAACAAUAUUAAAAUAUGCAGUAAAAUUUAAAAGAAACAAUAAAUUUAAUUUAAACAACCCCAAAAAGUAAAGGACCAGUCGCACGAAUGGCCCCUUUUGAACCCUUAUAAAAUCCCAUUUUAAAACCCUAAAGCCAUUCCCUCUCUGCCAUUUGAAGAUUUGCGCCGUAGCCCCUCUCCCUCUCUGUUGCUUCAGACUCCAACGAAGCAAAGAGACCUUCCGACGCCUCUCACAACGGUUAGUCCUCCUCCCCUCACCCUUUUCGUGUUUCGCUCUUAGGAAGAAGGAAGAGAUACCACGAAACAAACAACAAAAAAACAAUAAAAUAAUAAGAGAUCCCAGAAAACAAAAUUAAUCACCUCUCGAAUCCUUGCUUUUCUAUUUUUCCUCUUUAUUUCCUUUAAUUCUCAAUACCAAAAUUUGCUAACCCCCUUUACAGAUUUGAUUCCCCCCUUUAUACAACCGAAAACCCCUGUUUUUCGUUUGCCCCCUACCUCCUCUGUUCGUGGCUUAUUUGUUGCAGGUGGAUACUAGAGGAGGCGUGCGCGACGUGUGUACGGGGACUGAACAUGGGUGAAGACAGUUACGUGGGCAGUUACUGCGACGCGAAGAACAUGCGUGGCACGAAAGCUAUCUGCUGCUUAGAGUUAGGGUUUGCACACUUGGGCCAUAUUGGGCCGAAUGUAUUAGGAUUUAGCCCAAAUUUUAUUUUGACUGUAUAAUAAACUAUCUUUUUAUUAAAAUUGGUUUUAUUUUCUGCUAAGCCCGGGCCCAAAAUUGGGUAUUACAGCUAUUUCGACAUAUUAGUCACUAAAAAUUCAAUUUAUGUAUUAACAAUUCUCAUUUGUGUUAAUAUUAAAAUUUCAAAAUUUG